rnacentral:sRNA from 1 species
UAAUAGCCCUGAUGGCAGCAAGUAUCCUUUCCAGUCCUGAGCUUUUUCAGGACUGGAAAGAUACUGCGAACAGCGGGAGAAUUU